rnacentral:misc_RNA from 1 species
UCCGGUUUGACACCGGCAGUCUCGCUAGAGUGCCCGGCAUGACCCGAUGGCAACUAACGAUAGGGGUUUCGCUCGUUAGGGGACUUAACCCAACACCUCAAGGCACGAGCUGACGACAGCCAUGCAACACCUGUACUGGUUACACCCGAAGGCAAUCCCCCGGCUUUCACCGGGUUAAUUCCAGCAUGUCAAACCCUGGUAAGGUUCUUCGCGUAACUUCGAAUUAAACCACACGCUCCGCUGCUUGUGCGGGCCCCCGUCAAUUCCUUUGAGUUUUAGCCUUGCGGCCGUAGUCCCCAGGCGGAGUACUUAUUGCGUUAGCUUCGCUACACAGGGAGUCGAUACCCCAUACAGCUAGUACUCAUCGUUUACGGCGUGGACUAC